rnacentral:misc_RNA from 1 species
UUUUAUUAAUUUUUUGUAUUAAAAUCGGACAACAAAAUAUUCAAGAGUUUUAAUUUCCUCUGGCGGGAGUUAAAAGCUAGAAAAAAGCUUACUUCCCGCCAAAGCAACAAAGUCAAGUACAACAAAGGGUUGAAGGUUUACCCCCAAAAAAAGAGGGCAUAACUCUAUUAAUGAUCCUUCCGCAGGUUCACCUACGGAAA